CUAACCAUGCAGUCGACGGGAUCUUCGGAUCUAGUGGCGGACGGGUGAGUAACGCGUGGGAAUAUGCCCUUUGGUACGGAAUAGCCUCGGGAAACUGAGAGUAAUACCGUAUGUGUCCUCUGAUUGUGGUGAUCGGAGGAGAAAGAUUUAUCGCCAAAGGAUUAGCCCGCGUUGGAUUAGAUAGUUGGUGGGGUAAUGGCCUACCAAGUCUACGAUCCAUAGCUGGUUUGAGAGGAUGAUCAGCCACACUGGGACUGAGACACGGCCCAGACUCCUACGGGAGGCAGCAGUGGGGAAUCUUAGACAAUGGGGGAAACCCUGAUCUAGCCAUGCCGCGUGAUCGAUGAAGGCCUUAGGGUUGUAAAGAUCUUUCAGUUGGGAAGAUAAUGACGGUACCAACAGAAGAAGCCCCGGCUAACUCCGUGCCAGCAGCCGCGGUAAUACGGAGGGGGCUAGCGUUAUUCGGAAUUACUGGGCGUAAAGCGCACGUAGGCGGACUGAAAAGUUAGGGGUGAAAUCCCAGGGCUCAACCUUGGAACUGCCUUUAAAACUAUCAGUCUAGAGUUCGAGAGAGGUGAGUGGAAUUCCGAGUGUAGAGGUGAAAUUCGUAGAUAUUCGGAGGAACACCAGUGGCGAAGGCGGCUCACUGGCUCGAUACUGACGCUGAGGUGCGAAAGCGUGGGG
rnacentral:rRNA from 1 species